AGCGAACGCUGGCGGCAGGCCUAACACAUGCAAGUCGAACGAACUCUUCGGAGUUAGUGGCGGACGGGUGAGUAACACGUGGGAACGUGCCUUUAGGUUCGGAAUAACUCAGGGAAACUUGUGCUAAUACCGAAUGUGCCCUUCGGGGGAAAGAUUUAUCGCCUUUAGAGCGGCCCGCGUCUGAUUAGCUAGUUGGUGAGGUAAAGGCUCACCAAGGCGACGAUCAGUAGCUGGUCUGAGAGGAUGAUCAGCCACAUUGGGACUGAGACACGGCCCAAACUCCUACGGGAGGCAGCAGUGGGGAAUCUUGCGCAAUGGGCGAAAGCCUGACGCAGCCAUGCCGCGUGAAUGAUGAAGGUCUUAGGAUUGCAAAAUUCUUUCACCGGGGACGAUAAUGACGGUACCCGGAGAAGAAGCCCCGGCUAACUCCGUGCCAGCAGCCGCGGUAA
rnacentral:rRNA from 1 species